rnacentral:tRNA from 1 species
AUUAGUUUGGCAGAAUUAUGCAUUAAAUUUAGGUUUUAAUUAUAUGUAUUUCUACAUAUCUAAUA